AUGAUAAAUAUUCUGUUCUCUCUACAAUAAAAAAAAAAAUAAUAUACAGUGCAUUCGGAAAGUAUUCAGACCCCUUGGCUUUUCCCACAUUUUGUUACGUUACAGCCUUAUUCUAAAAUUGAUUUAAAAAAUAAAAAAUAUAUCUACACACAAUACCCCAUAAUGACAAAGCAAAAACAGGUUUUUAUACAUUUUGCAAAUGUAUAAAAAGAAAACACCUGAUAUCACAUUUACAUAAGUAUUCAGACCCUUUACUCAGUACAUUGUAGAAGCAUCCUUGGCAGCGAUUACAGCCUCGAGUCUUCUUGGGUAUGUCGCUACAGUGGUUGCUCCUUUAAAAGUUGUGUCAUACUGCGGCACACCUUGCGGGCUACCGCAGCAUUCAGUGGCACGUCAUUUAAUUGUCAGACAUUUUUUCUGUUAAUGCAAGUUAGUGCUAGUUUGACCACCAGAGGGCACCUUUGAGAAGCAUUCGAUAGUCUUCCAUAUUGCAGGCAUGCGGGAGACCGGGGUUCAAUUCCCCAACUGGGAGGAAGGAGUAGGCUGUCCUUGUAAUUAAGAAUUUGUUCUCAACUGAUUCCAUAUGUGUUAUUUCAUAGUUGUGAUGUCUUCACUAUUAUUCUACAAUGUAGAACAUAGGAAAAAUAUAGAAAAACCCUGUAAUGAGUAGGUGUGUCCAAACUUUUGACUGGUACUUGCUUAAUUCAUUUGAUUAAUAUCAUGGUGUUUCUAUUCCAUGAAAAACGAAAAACCCUCUGGGUAAAUUCAGACCGUUUCUCUCUUGGCGCGCACGAGACGUUCGGGCCGAGGAGAAGGGUUGAUUUGAGCGUUCUGGCCUUACAACGGCAGUCAAGCACCCAAGCUAAUGUUGGCUAGCUUGCUAUCUACUUCCAGGCACAAAUGAGACCACUCUGACCAUUUACCCGCCCUAGCAGAGCUGGUUAGGCAGUUUUCGUGUUAACCAGGGCGUUGGUGACUAACUGUGCUGCUGGAAACAAUUUAAGUACGCUUUUUUACUGACGUUUACUGACACCGGCCAUAUUCAACGGGUGUUGAGCGCUCGUAAAUUCAUUAUUCUGCGCUCUGGUACACUCAGAUGAGAGUGUUCUGAAAUCGGAGUAGAUAGCCAGAGCGAAUUUACGAAAGCACCCGAAUGUCCAUUGAGAACACACAACAACUAUACCAUUUUGCUAAGCUAAGAAUGACAGGAAUAAUCAAGUCAAUUCACUUUGGAUAGUUAGAUAGCCUAUAGUUAAUAUACUGUCAAGUUUGAUGUAUAAGUGAGUAAGACUUUUAAACAGGUCAACAUACACAAGGCUGCGGGGCCAGACGGAUUACCAGGACAUGUGCUCCGGGCAUGUACUGACCAACUGGCAGGUGUCUUCACUGACAUUUUCAACAUGUCCCUGAUUGAGUCUGUAAUACCAACAUGUUUCAAGUAGACCACCAUAGACCCUGUGCCCAAGAUCACAAAGGCAACCUGCCUAAAUGACUACAGACCCGUAGCACUCACGUCCGUAGCCAUGAAGUGCUUUGAAAGGUUGGUAAUGGCUCACAUCAACACCAUUAUCCCAGAAACCCUAGAACCACUCCAAUUUGCAUACCGCCCAAGCAGAUCCACAGAUGAUGAAAUCUCUAUUGCACUUCACACUGCCCUUUCCCACCUGGACAAAAGGAACACUUAUAUCAGAAUGCUAUUCAUUGACUACAGCUCAGCAUUCAACACCAUAGUACCCUCAAAGCUCAUCACUAAGCUAAGGAUCCUGGGACUAAACACCUCCCUCUGCAACUGGAUCCUGGACUUCCUGACGGGCCGCCCCCAGGUGGUGAGGAUAGGUAGCAACACAUCUGCCACGCUUAUCCUCAACACUGGAGCUCCCCAGGGGUGCGUGCUCAGUCCCCUCCUGUACUUCCUAUUCACCCACGACUGCAUGGCCAGGCACGGCUCCAACACCAUCAUUAAGUUUGCAGACGAGACAACAGUGCUAGGCCUGAUCACCGACAACGACGAGACAGCCUAUAGGGAGGAGGUCAGAGACCUGGACGAGUGGUGCCAGAAUAACAACCUAUCCCUCAACGUAACCAAGAUUAAGGAGAUGAUUGUGGACUACAGGAAAAGGAGGACCGAGCACGCCCCCAUUCUCAUCGACGGGGCUGUAGUGGAGCAGGUUGAGAGCUUCAAGUUCCUUGGUGUCCACAUCAACAACAAACUAGAAUGGUCCAAACACACCAAGACAGCCGUGAAGAGCGCACGACAAAGCCUAUUCCCCAUCAGGAAACAAAAAAGGAUUUGGCAUGGGUCCUGAGAUCCUCAAAAGGUUCUACAGCUGCAACAUCGAGAGCAUCCUGACUGGUUGCAUCACUGUCUGGUACGGCAAUUGUUCGGCCUCAGCCUGCAAGGCACUACAGAGGGUAGUGCGUACGGCCCAGUACAUCACUGGGGCUAAGCUUCCUGCCAUCCAGGACCUCUACACCAGGCGGUGUCAGAGGAAGGCCCUAAAAAUUGUCAUAAAGACCCCAGCCACCCCAGUCAUAGACUGUUCUCUCUACUACCGCAUGGCAAGCUGUACCAGAGUGCCAAGUCUAGGACAAAAAGGCUUCUCAACAGUUUUUAUCCCCAAGCCAUAAGACUCCUGAACAGGUAAUCAAAUGGCUACCCGGACUAUUUGCAUUGUGUGCCCCUCGAACCCCCCACCCAACCCCACUUUUUACGCUGCUGCUAGUCUCUGUUUAUCAUAUAUGCAUUGUCACUUUAACUAUACAGUCGUGGCCAAAAGUUUUGAGAAUUACACAAAUAUUAAUUUCCACAAAGUUUGCUGCUUCAGUGUCUUUAGAUAUUUUUGUCAGAUGUUACUAUGGAAUACUGAAGUAUAAUUAUAAGCAUUUCAUAAGUGUCAAAGGCUUUUAUUGACAAUUACAUGAAGUUGAUGUAAAGAGUCAAUAUUUGCAGUGUUGACCCUUAUUUUUCAAGACCACUGCAAUCCGCCCUGGCAUGCUGUCAAUUAACUUCUGGGCCACAUCCUGUCUGAUGGCAGCCCAUUCUUACAUAAUCAAUGCUUGGAGUUUGUCAGAAUUUGUGGGGUUUUGUUUGUCCACCCGCCUCAUGAGGAUUGACCACAAGUUCUCAAUGGGAUUAAGGUCUGGGGAGUUUCCUGGCCAUGGACCCAAAAUAUCGAUGUUUUGUUCCCCGAGCCACUUCGUUAUCACUUUUGCCUUAUGGCAAGGUGCUCCAUCAUGCUGGAAAAGGCAGUGUUUGUCACCAAACUGUUUCUGGAUGGUUAGGAGAAGUUGCUCUCGGAGGAUGUGUUGGUACCAUUCUUUAUUCAUGGCUGUGUUCUUAGGCAAAAUUGUGAGUGAGCCCACUCCCUUGGCUGAGAAGCAACCCCACACAUGAAUGGUCUCAGGAUGCUUUACUGUUGGCAUGACACAGGACUGAUGGUAGCGCUCACCUUGUCUUCUCCGGACAAGCUUUUUUCCGGAUGCCCCAAACAAUCGGAAAGGGGAUUCAUCAGAGAAAAUGACUUUACCCCAGUCCUCAGCAGUCCAAUCCCUGUACAUUUUGCAGAAUAUCAGUCUGUCCCUGAUGUUUUUCCGGAGAGAAGUGGCUUCUUUGCUGCCCUUCUUGACACCAGGCCAUCCUCCAAAAGUCUUCGCCUCUCUGUGCGUGCAGAUGCACUCACUCCUGCCUGCUGCCAUUCCUGAGCAAGCUCUGUACUGGUGGUCCCCCAAUCCCGCAGCUGAAUCAACUUUAGGAGACGGCCCUGGCGCUUGCUGUACUUUCUUGGGCGCCCUGAAUCCUUCUUCACAACAAUUGAGCUGGCAACAAUAUCCUUGCCUGUGAAGCCCUUUUUGUGCAGGUACCCAAGGUUGACAGAGGAAGAACAAUGAUUCCAAGCACCACCCUCCUUUUGAAGCUUCCAGUCUGUUAUUCGAACUCAAUCAGCAUGACAUAGUGAUCUCCAGCCUUGUCCUCGUCAACACUCACACCUGUGUUAACGAGAGAAUCACUGGCAUGAUGUCAGCUGGUCCUUUUGUUGCAGGGAUGAAAUGCAGUGGAAAUGUUUUGGGGGAAUUCCGUUCAUUUGCAUGGCAAAGAGGGACUUUGCAAUUAAUUGCAAUUCAUCUGAUUACUCUUCAUACCAUUCUGGAGUAUAUGCAAAUUGCUAUCAUACAAACUGAGGCAGCAGACUUUGUGAAAAUUUAUAUUUGUGUCAUUCUCAAAACUUUUGGCCACGACUGUACAUUCAUGUACAUACUACCUCAACUGGGUCGACCAACCAAUGCUCCCGCACAUUGGCUAACCGGGCUAUCUGCAUUGUGUCCUGCCACCCACCAACCCCUCUUUUACGCUAUUGCUACACUGUUCAUCAUAUACGCAUAGUCACUUUAACCAAGUCUACAUGUACAUACAACCUCAAUCAGCCUGACUAACCGGUGUCUGUAUGUAGCCUUCCUACUUUUAUAGCCUCGCUACUGUAUAUAGCCUGUAUAUAGUCUUUUUACUGUUGUUUUAUUUCUUUACUUACCUAAUACCUUUUUUGCACUAUUGGUUAGAGCCUGUAAGUAAGCAUUUCACUGUUGUAUUCGGCGCACGUGACAAAUAAACUUUGUUUUGAUUUAUAACUACUAAGGUUAGGUAGAUAGCUAACAUACCGGUACAUACUGCUGUAAUGAUAUGCUAUGUGGUUUGUAAGGACAGCGUAGCUAACAAAUUGGCAGCGAACAUAACGUGUAAGGUAAUUUAUUUGAAAAGUAUUUACUUUAUUACAUUGAGUAAUAAGCUACCGUGAGGACGCGCUCUAUCGACACUGCGGCUUGAGCAUGCUUUUGGUGCAGUCGAUAGCGCGCUGGACUUCGGGCAAGAAGGUUUAGGGUUCGAAACCUGCUCCCUGCUUGUUUCAUUUGAAGUCGUGCACAAUUAUCAGUUUAUUAUUUGGUUUAUAUUGUCCAUUCAUUGUCAGUUAGACACAGUAGUGCAUUGGGACCCAAAAGCAUAAUCAGUGCUCAAACUCCCCCAUGGUCGUUAGGGCAAAUCUGGUUUGUGAUAGAACGAGGGGUAUUCGCACCUUGCUUGGCUAUUAGACUAUUCUUUAGUAAAAGUUGAAUAGUCUAUUGUUCAGCUAUUAGCCCCCCUCCCCAACUUGCAACAAAUUGUUGUUAAUCCCAUCUCGUGCCUCGUCCUCUUCCACGCGUCAUUCUCCGCCUGAGUGGCUCGCUUGUGGGCGUGCUGGCAGGAUAUGGCAGCAUCUUCAGUUGUGCGUCAAGAAUUCUGCAUAGCAAGUUUGUAUGAAGGUCUGGUUAUUCACAAGCAAAUUGUUAUAUGGUAUGGAGGUACAUUUGUGUAUUUUUGUCGAGAGCAAAACAUUAUUUUCAAUCAAAAAUAAUUGUUCUGAAAGCAACUUUUUUAUUUCAAUCAAAAAUAAUUGUUUUGAAAGCAAAAGAGGCUUCAAAGUUAAUCAAAUAUUUAUUUAUAUUUUGUAAUAGAGCGCAAAACUUAUUCGAGAACAAAACAUGUAUUUGAAAACAAUUUAAUUUCACUAUCAACCACCCUCCAUUUUGGCCAUUUUUUGAGUGUCAGUUUGGCUACAACCAAUACUGUUCAGCCUUUCUUUCCGACACAAAGGAAGUCAUAGCGGACACCUGCGAAGAAGGACUGUGUGAUGAUGGCAUCUCAGGUAAGCAGUACUGGGCAUUCUUCUGUCCAACUUCAAAGUCUCCAAGUAAUGGGCCAUUGUGUACAAUAGCGAAGAGUUAGGGAGUCUUUGCAGCGUUGUACGGUAGAUGGUGCAGGUAUCAUUGCCAGAAUGAUCCAGCUUCGUUGCAUUGCUCGGCAAAAAUACUCUGCUCCUGCUCCCCUGUCUCUCGUCCACAUUGAUACAAAUCAUAAAUUGAUAAGGUACUAAGAUGUAUAAUGUCUCCAUCAAAUCUAAGAAGUUAUUAUAACUUUUUUAUUCUUACUUAUUCGUAGACAAAUUUUCAAUGAUGUAUGAAAUUGGAGCUGUUCUUUAUCAACUGGUAAUACAUGAAUAAUGAAGCAGGUUAAUAGGUUAACCAACUCACUUUUAAUUCCAAUGCUUUUUUUCAAGAUACAACAUUGUCAUCUUUGGCAGUAUAUAUGGAUUUUCAAGGAAGGUAAGUAUAUUAUUUUGUAUGCAUAUUGCAUAUUUCCCAUCACCUUAUGAACAACCACAAUACCAGUCUGGUGUUAAGCUUUCUGUGCUGUAUUGACGUAUCCUGAAAAUGACACCUGCUGCUUUAGAUUGAACAGUAAUACCUCAGUUAUUGUUUUCAUAUCUACAAUAAAUAAGCUAUUUUCUUUACUUUCAGAGUGCGAGCUGAUCAAAGGGUCGAAAAUGUAGAUAUUGCCAGAUGUAUGUUCACUGUCCGAGGAACAGGCAGUGGGAACUUUAUUUCUGGUAUAAGUGUCCAUAACCAGAGGGAAUUAAACUCUUCUGUGUUCUUUUUCUCUCUUCCUGUCUUGUUGUACAUGGAACCUGUCUCACAUGCAUUAAUUUAAAAAAACUUAAGAUGUCAGCUGCUAAUUUUCCGAUUUACAUUUUUCACUGGACUAUCAAGCCCGUUGCUGCCAAGUCAUGAUUUCCCUUGGGGUUAGCCUUGCAAUAACCAAGUGGUAAGACACAUAGCCCUCUAUAUUUAAAUAUAAAGGUACACUCAGACAGGUGUCUGCAUCACAAAACAGUCAGUAACCACUCACAGAGGCUCACACAACUUGCAUUUCUAUAACCUCGGCCCCACCUCAGUGUUCACUAUUCAUGGAGGAAGACCACAGGACCACAGAGAUGUUAGAGUGGAACGCUUAUGGAGAGAUGUUUGGAGUGCUGUGACAUGUCAGUACUACAACUUGCUGCACAGUUUGGAGGAAGAAGGCUACCUUGACCUGUCGAAUUCUAUCCACCUCUUCUGUGUGGGAUAUGUGUUCCUACCUCGUCUGCGGGCAGAUCUGCACCAUUUCACAGAGAGUUGGAAUAAUCACCCUUUUAAGUACAGAGCAUAAAGAACUCUGUAGCCACUUAGUGUGGACACCAGGUGAGACUACACACACAAAAAAUACAGUUAUAUCAGCUGUGUUGGUGAACCCCUCCUGCAUCUGAACUGGCUGACACAGAGGGCACAGCAUGAUCAUAGGUAUGUUUUGAUGUGAGAGAGGAAGCCAGUCCCGUCAUCACCACCUCACCCGCUCUUAAGAUAACCUUAACCAAGGCUGGUUAGGAGACACCACUAGAGACACUAUGUAAUUGUGAUGAACUGAGAGAAUAUUAGGGUAGCACUGUAAUUCAUUAAUCAUAUGCUGUCUUCUCUGCUCCUCUGUUUUACCUCUUUCCCCGCCUCCUCUGUUCCUCUUUUUUUAUAAUGCAUACAAUUUGUGCAUUGAAGUACAGAUUUAACUUGUAUUUGUAAUAUAUUACAAUUAUAAUAUUUAUAAUGCAUGUAUUAUGUAUUUAUAACACCUGGAUAAUGAACUUUCAAUAAAGCGUUUCACAUUC